GUUUUUCAAGCAGAUUUCCUACAAAGCACAGUUACUGUAAUGCUGAGCCCGUGAUGGCUACAGUCAAAGAAGUUGGCUUCCGGGAAGGCUUUGUAGCCUCUGUACCAUUGACCAGUUGGUAUACUUACCGCGCAAUCUAUCAGCAUCGUCCAUUUUACUGCUGCCUGGAGUGCUGUAUCUCUAUUUUCUCACUCUCAGCCUGAGUCUUACUUCCAUCAGUCAUUGGUGACUCUGCCUGAGAACAAUUUAUCAAGACUUAUGAUUCAAGAGUUGAAGUGUGGAGUCAGAUGUAUCCCACAGAAACUCCUAUAGCCUGCAGGAACGCUGGGAGCCUCCACCAUCCCUCCUGUGGUGGGGACUGUCUAUGGAGCAG
rnacentral:lncRNA from 1 species